GACGAACGCUGGCGGCGUGCCUAAUACAUGCAAGUAGAACGCUGAAGGAGGAGCUUGCUUCUCUGGAUGAGUUGCGAACGGGUGAGUAACGCGUAGGUAACCUGCCUGGUAGCGGGGGAUAACUAUUGGAAACGAUAGCUAAUACCGCAUAAGAGUAGAUGUUGCAUGACAUUUGCUUAAAAGGUGCAAUUGCAUCACUACCAGAUGGACCUGCGUUGUAUUAGCUAGUUGGUGGGGUAACGGCUCACCAAGGCGACGAUACAUAGCCGACCUGAGAGGGGGAUCGGCCACACUGGGACGGAGACACGGCCCAGACUCCUACGGGAGGCAGCAGUAGGGAAUCUUCGGCAAGGGACGGAAGUCUGACCGAGCAACGCCGCGGGAGUGAAGAAGGUUGUCGGAUCGUAAAGCUCUGUUGUAAGAGAAGAACGAGUGUGAGAGUGGAAAGUUCACACUGUGACGGUAUCUUACCAGAAAGGGACGGCUAACUACGUG
rnacentral:rRNA from 1 species